GACGAACGCUGGCGGCGUGCUUAACACAUGCAAGUCGAGCGGUAAGGCCCUUUCGGGGGUACACGAGCGGCGAACGGGUGAGUAACACGUGGGUGACCUGCCCUCAGCUCUGGGAUAAGCCUGGGAAACCGGGUCUAAUACCGGAUAUGACUCCAUGACGCAUGUUGGUGGGGUGGAAAGCCUUGUGCGGCUGAGGAUGGGCCCGCGGCCUAUCAGCUUGUUGGUGGGGUGAUGGCCUACCAAGGCGACGACGGGUAGCCGGCCUGAGAGGGCGACCGGCCACACUGGGACUGAGACACGGCCCAGGACUCCUACGGGAGGCAGCAGUGGGGAAUCGUUGCGCAAUGGGCGAAAGCCUGACGCAGCGACGCCGCGU
rnacentral:rRNA from 1 species